rnacentral:misc_RNA from 1 species
AAAACAUAGCUGUCUGGCUGCAAAGCCGUGACGCUUCAACCCUUUGUGAACCAAACAACCUUUCGCUUCGGCAGCUGCACCGUUGGACUUCCAACCACCGCUUAAGCCUGCCGGUAGCACCCAAACAUAAACUUGCUUUAAAAAUUAUGUCUGAUAACCAAAUUUUCGAAUGAAAAUUAAAACUUUCAACAACGGAUCUCUUGGUUCC